UUGUUUCUUGACUUCUAAGUUUCAUUUUGCUUUUGUUUACUAUUGAUUGACCUUGAUCCCAUUCAUCUUUGGUCAACGUACUUUGCUUAUUUCAUUUGAAUUUCAAUUCAUGUACAUUCUUAUUCAUCUUCUUCUUCUUCAUCAUCUUUUUUUUUCUUUUUUAUCAAUGAGUUAAAGAUUGGGUGUUAGCCUUGAUAUAUGGGAGGUUUAAC
rnacentral:lncRNA from 1 species